rnacentral:rRNA from 1 species
AUUGAACGCUGGCGGCAGGCCUAACACAUGCAAGUCGAACGAGUGGCGGAUGGGUGAGUAAUGUCUGGGAAACUGCCUGAUGGAGGGGGAUAACUACUGGAAACGGUAGCUAAUACCGCAUACCAUCAGAUGUGCCCAGAUGGGAUUAGCUAGUUGGUGGGGUAACGGCUCACCAAGGCGACGAUCCCUAGCUGGUCUGAGAGGAUGACCAGCAACACUGGAACUGAGCAACGGUCCAGACUCCUCCGGAAGGCAGCGGUGGGGAAUAUUGCACAUGGGGGGCAAGCCGGAUGCAGCCAGGCCGCGUGGAUGAAGAAGGCCUUCGAGUUGUAAAGUACUUUCAGCGGGGAGGCGUUACCCGCAGAAGAAGCACCGGCUAACUCCGUGCCAGCAGCCGCGGUAAUUC